rnacentral:rRNA from 1 species
AGACCCGAAACCCGGUGAUCUAGCCAUGGGCAGGUUGAAGGUUGGGUAACACUAACUGGAGGACCGAACCGACUAAUGUUGAAAAAUUAGCGGAUGACCUGUGGCUGGGGGUGAAAGGCCAAUCAAACCGGGAGAUAGCUGGUUCUCCCCGAAAGCUAUUUAGGUAGCGCCUCGUGAAUUCAUCUCCGGGGGUAGAGCACUGUUUCGGCUAGGGGGCCAUCCCGGCUUACCAACCCGAUGCAAACUGCGAAUACCGGAGAAUGUUAUCACGGGAGACACACGGCGGGUGCUAACGUCCGUCGUGAAGAGGGAAACAACCCAGACCGCCAGCUAAGGUCCCAAAGUCAUGGUUAAGUGGGAAACGAUGUGGGAAGGCCCAGACAGCCAGGAUGUUGGCUUAGAAGCAGCCAUCAUUUAAAGAAAGCGUAAUAGCUCACUGGUCGAGUCGGCCUGCGCGGAAGAUGUAACGGGGCUAAACCAUGCACCGAAGCUGCGGCAGCGAACGUAUCACCCAAGACAACUUUACGGAGUUGACGAUUGACGGAGCGAAGCGACGUCAAAGCGUUCAUUAAAGUCGAGUUGGCUUAGGGAUACGUUCGUUGGGUAGGGGAGCGUUCUGUAAGCCUGUGAAGGUGUGUCGUGAGGCAUGCUGGAGGUAUCAGAAGUGCGAAUGCUGACAUAAGUAACGAUAAAGCGGGUGAAAAGCCCGCUCGCCGGAAGACCAAGGGUUCCUGUCCAACGUUAAUCGGGGCAGGGUGAGUCGACCCCUAAGGCGAGGCCGAAAGGCGUAGUCGAUGGGAAACGGGUUAAUAUUCCCGUACUUGGUGUUACUGCGAAGGGGGGACGGAGAAGGCUAUGUUGGCCGGGCGACGGUUGUCCCGGUUUAAGCGUGUAGGUGUGUGUUCCAGGUAAAUCCGG